rnacentral:lncRNA from 1 species
CUUUUGCUGUUGCAGCUGUCCACAGGGCUCAGUGGGAGGUCUGCCGGGCUGUGCACCCAGAGUGUACCGGUCUCAUCUUUAAGGUCAUUGGUGUUGGCUGCGGUGGGAUGAAGCCAUGGCCCCGGGGGUAGCGAACCGUGAAGCUGGGACGCCCUUCUCUUCCCAGAGCCAGCAGAGUGUUCUCACUUUGCACUGGAAAUAGCUGGCAGUGAACUCAGACCCA